AUGUCGUUUGAAAACGACAAGGACAUGUGGGCUGCGCUCGAGGCCAAGUUUGGAGCCUCGGACGCCGGCAGCGAGUUGUACGUCAUGGAGCAAUUCUAUGACUACAAGAUGACUGAUGAGCGUUCUGUUGUACAGCAGGCUCAUGAGAUACAGUCGCUCGCAAAAGAACUUGAGUACUUCAAGUGUGUGUUGCCGGACAAAUUUGUUGCCGGAGGCAUCAUUGCCAAGCUUGCACCUUCAUGGAACAAUUUUGCUACUUCCCUAAAACACAAGAGACAGGAGUUUUCCGUUGCGGAUCUCAUUGGUACUCUUGAUGUUGAAGAGAAGGCGAGAGCAAAGGACACACGUGCUCGAGUUGCUGAGGGAACUUCUAGUGCCCACAUGGUACAGAAGAAGAACUUCCAGCCCAACAAGUUCAAAAACAACAAGAACAAAACUCAGGGCAAAGGCAAGUUUGAUACAAAGAACAAGCCAUCACAUUGUACCAACUUCAAGAAGAAUUCUCAUAAGAAGGGGAAGGGACUUUGCCAUGUCUGCGGUGAUCCUAAUCACUGGGCUCCGAAGUGUGCUAACCGUUUUGAGGAGCGCGAACAUGAGAAGAGUGGGAAGUCCGCUAACGUUGUCAUCGGUGAUACUGAUAUGAAGGAUUCUGGGCCACAGGGACUUCUCCCAUGCUGA
rnacentral:rRNA from 1 species